CCUACGGGUGGCAGCAGUGGGGAAUAUUGGGCAAUGGGCGCAAGCCUGACCCAGCAACGCCGCGUGAAGGAAGAAGGCUUUCGGGUUGUAACCUUCUUUUAAGUGGGACGAUCAGAAGACGGUACCUCUUGAAUCACCCACGGCUAACUACGUGCCAGCAGCCGCGGUAAUACGUAGGUGGCAAGCGUUUUCCGGAUUUACUGGGUGUAAAGGGCGUGCAGCCGGGAAGACAAGUCAGAUGUGAAAUCCCGCGGCUCAACCGCGGAACUGCAUUUGAAACUGUUUUUCUUGAGUACCGGAGAGGUCAUCGGAAUUCCUUGUGUAGCGGUGAAAUGCGUAGAUAUAAGGAAGAACACCAGUGGCGAAGGCGGAUGACUGGACGGCAACUGACGGUGAGGCGCGAAAGCGUGGGGAGCAAACAGGAUUAGAUACCCUAGUAGUC
rnacentral:rRNA from 1 species